AUGAGUGUUGUAUUUAUUCCUCCACAAAUUAAACAGUGCUUGCCAAGGACCUGCUAUGCGCCAGGGGCUGCUGGAGCUGGGAACCUAAUGAUCACAGUGUCAGCCUCUGCCAGCCUUUGUGUGUGUGGCAGGGGUUGUUUUGAGUCCCACCAUCUUCCAUCCCUGAUGCUUGGAGAAGCUGAGGACACACAGGGAACACCAGCCCCAUCUUUUCACCAUGGAGCUUCCAGAGCUGACUUUGAAGUAUAA
rnacentral:lncRNA from 1 species